AAGCGUAAUAGCUCACUGGUCGAGUCGGCCUGCGCGGAAGAUGUAACGGGGCUAAACCAUGCACCGAAGCUGCGGCAGCGAACGUAUCACUUAAAGCGAUUCAGCGGGUUACGAUUGACGGAGCGAAGCGACGUCAAAGCGUAUACAAAGUCGAGUCGGUUUAAGGAUACGUUCGUUGGGUAGGGGAGCGUUCUGUAAGCCUGUGAAGGUGGCCUGUGAGGGUUGCUGGAGGUAUCAGAAGUGCGAAUGCU
rnacentral:rRNA from 2 species